UACGAAGGGUGCAAGCGUUACUCGGAAUUACUGGGCGUAAAGCGUGCGUAGGUGGUGAGUUAAGUCUGUCGUGAAAGCCCCGGGCUCAACCUGGGAAUGGCGAUGGAUACUGGCUCGCUAGAGUGCGGUAGAGGAGAGUGGAAUUCCCGGUGUAGAGGUGAAAUUCGUAGAUAUCGGGAGGAACACCAGUGGCGAAGGCGGCGAUCUGGGAAGAUACUGACGCUGAAGUGCGAAAGCGUGGGGAUCAAACAGG
rnacentral:rRNA from 1 species